rnacentral:rRNA from 1 species
ACAGUGUCUGGUGGGUAGUUUGACUGGGGCGGUCUCCUCCUAAAGAGUAACGGAGGAGCACGAAGGUUGGCUAAUCCUGGUCGGACAUCAGGAGGUUAGUGCAAUGGCAUAAGCCAGCUUGACUGCGAGCGUGACGGCGCGAGCAGGUGCGAAAGCAGGUCAUAGUGAUCCGGUGGUUCUGAAUGGAAGGGCCAUCGCUCAACGGAUAAAAGGUACUCCGGGGAUAACAGGCUGAUACCGCCCAAGAGUUCAUAUCGACGGCGGUGUUUGGCACCUCGAUGUCGGCUCAUCACAUCCUGGGGCUGAAGUAGGUCCCAAGGGUAUGGCUGUUCGCCAUUUAAAGUGGUACGCGAGCUGGGUUUAGAACGUCGUGAGACAGUUCGGUCCCUAUCUGCCGUGGGCGCUGGAGAACUGAGGGGGGCUGCUCCUAGUACGAGAGGACCGGAGUGGACGCAUCACUGGUGUUCGGGUUGUCAUGCCAAUGGCACUGCCCGGUAGCUAAAUGCGGAAGAGAUAAGUGCUGAAAGCAUCUAAGCACGAAACUUGCCCCGAGAUGAGUUCUCCCUGAGACUUUAGGUCUCCUGAAGGAACGUUGAAGACGACGACGUUGAUAGGCCGGGUGUGUAAGCGCAGCGAUGCGUUGAGCUAACCGG